UGAAGCCUGGGUGCCCGCGAGGGAGCCCUAGCACAGGUGCUGCAUGGCCGUCGUCAGCUCGUGCCGUGAGGUGUUGGGUUAAGUCCCGCAACGAGCGCAACCCCCGCCGUUAGUUGCCAGCGGUUCGGCCGGGCACUCUAACGGGACUGCCCGCGAAAGCGGGAGGAAGGAGGGGACGACGUCUGGUCAGCAUGGCCCUUACGGCCUGGGCGACACACGUGCUACAAUGCCCACUACAAAGCGAUGCCACCCGGCAACGGGGAGCUAAUCGCAAAAAGGUGGGCCCAGUUCGGAUUGGGGUCUGCAACCCGACCCCAUGAAGCCGGAAUCGCUAGUAAUCGCGGAUCAGCCAUGCCGCGGUGAAUACGUUCCCGGGCCUU
rnacentral:rRNA from 1 species